UAAUCGAUGGGGGGACGCAGUAGGAUAGGCGAAGCGUGCGAUUGGAUUGCACGUCUAAGCAGUAAGGCUGAGUAUUAGGCAAAUCCGGUACUCGUUAAGGCUGAGCUGUGAUGGGGAGAAGACAUUGAGUCUUCGAGUCGUUGAUUUCACACUGCCGAGAAAAGCCUCUAGAUAGAAAAUAGGUGCCCGUACCGCAAACCGACACAGGUAGUCAAGAUGAGAAUUCUAAGGUGAGCGAGCGAACUCUCGUUAAGGAACUCGGCAAAAUGACCCCGUAACUUCGGGAGAAGGGGUGCUCUUUAG
rnacentral:rRNA from 1 species